UCACCGCCGGAGCGUGUCGCCGAGCCCGGCCAGCGACCGCCGGACCUCCGGCCGCCGCAUCACCUCCGGGUCCUGCAGGUGCGGCAGCAGCUCGGCGAUCAUGAAGACGCGGCGGGCGAGCUGCUCGCACUCCUUCUUGUUCUGUCGAGCCGUCAUCGCCGCCUGCAUGAUGACGGAGAUGAGGCUGCCGACAUCCGCCCCGACCAGCUGCACCACCGUCGCCGCCUGCCCCAGCCCGCUCCACAUGAUCUCGCCGUGGCGAUCUCCAAACUCGCAAGGAUUAACCUGUCUACUUGUUGCUUGGUGCCAAGAAGAGCAAACGAAUGGUAAGGUGAGGAAAAUCACUGGAAGGUGGAUUAUUGGGAUAGUGUACGACGAGAACGAUGUCAAGCAGUUUUGUCUGACCGAGGAAAAGGUUGGAAAUUGGAAGAAGGCGACACAAACAGGAGUCUAG
rnacentral:lncRNA from 1 species